UGCCAUGUAAUAAGAAACACAGAAAAGUGGAGUCCAACGAUUGAAAAUGUAACUAUCUCAACUGAACCUUGUGACGUCUAUAGGAACGGCGCAGAACGUGCAAUUGAUGAAAAUAAAUCUUCUAUCAUAGGAGAGUGCUUCAAAAUAACGAAAGGUCUCGCUAAAGGAUAUGAGAAAAGCGUAAAAAUAAAAGGACCUCGGGAAACUGGUUAUGAAGAGGUUAAAAUCAGUCCUGGUCAACAGGAAACCGAUAGCACUGAAAAGUUUGAUAUCAGAUUAAAUGCGAGCCACAGAACUCGAGGCAGAUCUGAAGCUGAAGUUAGUGAGAAGGAAUCCUGCUACAUAGGUAACUUUAAAGUAAUGUUAAAUUAUACGGCAUGGUGAGAUUUUUGAGCGGCGCUGGUAAAUGUAUUGACGA
rnacentral:sRNA from 1 species